rnacentral:rRNA from 1 species
GAUGAACGCUCGCGGCAGGCCUAAUACAUGCAAGUCGGACGGGAUCCAUUGAUAGCUUGCUAUCAAUGGUGAGAGUGGCGCACGGGUGCGUAACGCGUGAGCAACCUGCCUCCAUCAGGGGGAUAGCCUCUCGAAAGAGAGAUUAACACCGCAUAAUAUCAACAGUUCGCAUGUUCAGUUGAUUAAAUAUUUAUAGGAUGGAGAUGGGCUCGCGUGACAUUAGCUAGUUGGUAGGGUAACGGCUUACCAAGGCGACGAUGUCUAGGGGCUCUGAGAGGAGAAUCCCCCACACUGGAACUGAGACACGGACCAGACUCCUACGGGAGGCAGCAGUAAGGAAUAUUGGUCAAUGGGCGGAAGCCUGAACCAGCCAUGCCGCGUGCAGGAUGACUGCCCUAUGGGUUGUAAACUGCUUUUGUCCAGGAAUAAACCUAAAUACGAGUAUUUAGCUGAAUGUACUGGAAGAAUAAGGAUCGGCUAACUCCGUG